UUUAACUGAAGAGUUUGAUCAUGGCUCAGAUUGAACGCUGGCGGCAGGCUUAACACAUGCAAGUCGAGCGGGGGAAGGUAGCUUGCUACUGGACCUAGCGGCGGACGGGUGAGUAAUGCUUAGGAAUCUGCCUAUUAGUGGGGGACAACAUCUCGAAAGGGAUGCUAAUACCGCAUACGUCCUACGGGAGAAAGCAGGGGAUCUUCGGACCUUGCGCUAAUAGAUGAGCCUAAGUCGGAUUAGCUAGUUGGUGGGGUAAAGGCCUACCAAGGCGACGAUCUGUAGCGGGUCUGAGAGGAUGAUCCGCCACACUGGGACUGAGACACGGCCCAGACUCCUACGGGAGGCAGCAGUGGGGAAUAUUGGACAAUGGGGGGAACCCUGAUCCAGCCAUGCCGCGUGU
rnacentral:rRNA from 1 species